AGUUGCCUUGAGCAUUAGCCAAUCAAAAAUGUUCUUGAGCCGAUAUCUGUAAAACCGGAGCCUCCUCGCAGAUGCUGUUGUGCAUGUCCGCCUGACGGAAAGCCUUAUGUGUCGCUGGAGGCACCACCUGGACCAUAGGGUUCAGGACUGUUUUGAUAGCGGUGCUCCGGGUAACUU
rnacentral:other from 1 species